UCCCUGGUAGUAUAUCGGUUAGUACACGCGCCUGUCAUUUGUCAGACGCGCGAAAGCUGGGUUCGACUCCCAGCCAGGGAG